AAGGAAUAUUGGUCAAUGGACGCAAGUCUGAACCAGCCAUGCCGCGUGAAGGAUGAAGGUCCUCUGGAUUGUAAACUUCUUUUAUCUGGGACGAAAACGGGAUUUUUAUCUCAAUUGACGGUACCAGAGGAAUAAGCACCGGCUAACUCCGUGCCAGCAGCCGCGGUAAUACGGAGGGUGCGAGCGUUAUCCGGAUUUACUGGGUUUAAAGGGUGCGUAGGUGGGCUUAUAAGUCAGUGGUGAAAUCUCCGAGCUUAACUUGGAAACUGCCGUUGAUACUAUAGGUCUUGAAUUAUCUGGAGGUAAGCGGAAUAUGUCAUGUAGCGGUGAAAUGCUUAGAUAUGACAUAGAACACCAAUUGCGAAGGCAGCUUACUACAUAUAAAUUGACGCUGAGGCACGAAAGCGUGGGGA
rnacentral:rRNA from 1 species